rnacentral:rRNA from 1 species
UGGGGAAUAUUGCACAAUGGGCGCAAGCCUGAUGCAGCGACGCCGCGUGAGGGAUGACGGCCUUCGGGUUGUAAACCUCUUUCACCAGGGACGAAGCGCAAGUGACGGUACCUGGAGAAGAAGCACCGGCCAACUACGUGCCAGCAGCCGCGGUAAUACGUAGGGUGCGAGCGUUGUCCGGAAUUACUGGGCGUAAAGAGCUCGUAGGUGGUUUGUCGCGUUGUUCGUGAAAACUCACAACUCAAUUGUGGGCGUGCGGGCGAUACGGGCAGACUAGAGUACUGCAGGGGAGACUGGAAUUCCUGGUGUAGCGGUGGAAUGCGCAGAUAUCAGGAGGAACACCGGUGGCGAAGGCGGGUCUCUGGGCAGUAACUGACGCUGAGGAGCGAAAGCGUGGGGAGCGAACAGGAUUAGAUACCCUGGUAGUCCACGCCGUAAACGGUGGGUACUAGGUGUGGGUUCCUUCCUUGGGAUCCGUGCCGUAGCUAACGCAUUAAGUACCCCGCCUGGGGAGUACGGCCGCAAGGC